GAUGAAGAACGCAGCGAAAUGCGAUAAGUAAUGUGAAUUGCAGAAUUCAGUGAAUCAUCGAAUCUUUGAACGCACAUUGCGCCCGCCAGUAUUCUGGCGAGCAUGCCUGUUCGAGCGUCAUUUCAACCAUCAAGCCCCAGGCUUGUGUUGGAGCCCUGCGGCUGCCGCAGCCUCCCAAAACCAGUGGCGGGCUCGCUAUCACACCGAGUGCAGUAGUUUACUCUUCGCUCAGGGCGUGUGGCGGGUGCUAGCCGUGAAACCCCCAACUUCUCAAGGUUGACCUCGGAUCAGGUAGGAAUACCCGCUGAACUUAAGCAUAUCAAUAAGCGGAGGA
rnacentral:misc_RNA from 1 species